rfam:Weissella viridescens strain DSM 20410 Scaffold2, whole genome shotgun sequence.
ACACAGCGAUGAUGUGGGAGGUUGCGACACACCCGGCAGCAUUGCCACGAGAUCCAUGCCAUGGAGUCUUGCGUGGUGUGUCGGUAGUUUCCACGGAGUUAGUUUCAUAUUCCAAUAUGGACGAAGG